ACCUCGUGAUCAGCCUGCCUUGGCCUCCCAAAGUGCUGGGAUUACAGGCAUAAGCCACCAUGCCCAGCCUGUCAGUCAUGUUUUUAACUGUAACUAUCCUGGAAAUUUUGUCAUUCAAAGACCAUUUUGUCUUGCUUUGUUCCUUCUUAAAAGAUAGGUUAUAAUCAAGCUAUAAAACUUGAACAGGUGUUCUCAAAUGUGAGUUUUUAAUAGCCUUGAAGAUUGUAACAUUGGAAUAGAGAAAGAAUGUGUGGGACUCAUGAAGAACUGAAAUGUUCACGAAUGUCAAGCAAUACAAGAGUUAACUAAAUGGACUGCACUCAGAAAGUUAAAGCAACCUUUUUGACUUUUACUUGGAAUGUUGCUGAUCCUUGUUUUGUUUUUCAGAGUUAAGAAAACUUAUUUUAAACUAUUUAUGGCCUUUAAUAAUUGAGUAAGGUAUACUCCUGCAAACAAAAUUUGGAGCACGUUUGUUUCUGUCUGCCUGGUUCCUCUAGAAGUUGGAAACUGCCUGUGAGUACUCUUAACUUAUGGAAAUAUAGUUGUUUGCAUCAGUGCAAUAAGAUCCAUUUUUCUUUUUCAACAGGACACAACUGGAAAAGCUAGUUAUUUUACCAAGGCUUUGACCGAAAGGCUUUUUGCCUACAUUUUAGACUAACCCUGCUUAUUCCUGUGAAUCAAGUGGUGAUCUCCUGCAGCUUGGAAGAAACAAAAAGGCAUAGAAGCAAUCAAACCCCAAAUGGUGCUGCAGACAGAGCCACACAUGGACACACCAUUCUUCUGAGAACACUUAGAUUGACCUCAAGAGGAGGCCCAACCACUGUCCUCCAACAAGAUGCCCCUUUUUAGCAGGAAGUAGCCAGAAAGAAUCGUCAUCCAAUACCCCCUAACGGCAGUUAAGUUUAUGUCUGUAGAGGGGGGAAAUAAUACAGGAGUUAUUAAGAAAUUAUUUUUAGAGGUUCCGAGAUGGCUGAAUAGGAACAGCUACAGUCUACAGC